AAGUUGUAUAGGAACUAAUUUUAUAGCCAUCUCACUCUUUCCAUUGGUUUCACUCUCCUUAUUUAACAGUUAUCCAGGACUUGACUUCCUCUGCUCUUGGACCCUAUGAAGAAGCUGGAUCAUGACUCUGGAAGGGGGUGGUUGGAACUCAGGGUGAAAAUGAAGAGGCUGGCAAGCUGCCACUUGAGAGAAGAUGCACAGAGUCUUGAAGAUUUGAACCAGACUAUACCAGGAGGUAAAAAUUGGACUAAUUUACAUGUACAUGUGUGCUAUAUGCACACACUCACACAGAAAUACACACACACACACAGUGAGUCAAGCAGAGUAUUCCCUGAAGAAAACAAAAAAAUAGAACAUCUGAGGAGUCAACAAAGACACAGUUUGUUCACUCAUUCACUCAUUCCUUCAUUCUUUCAAUAUUUAUGUAACUCCUACCUAAUACUCUGCACUGAAGAAGAUAUUAUGGGAACAAAAUGCCCAAAUAUCUUUAAGGAACUAGAAUUAAUUGGAGGUACUAUUUCCAUAUGUAUAUGUGUGUAUGUGUGUUUGGAGGGGGUGGUAGUGGUUAGUGUAUUUCUCCAGCCAACUCUACUACAUUCCUGCCUCAGGCUGAUGCUGAACACCUCACACUGGUGUUUGAAUUAAUUUAUUUCUAACACUGUAGAGGCCUAUCAAGAAUAUGGGGCUUCCCAGGUGGUAAAGAACCCGCAUGCCAAUGCAGGAGACUUAAGAGACACAGGUUUGAUUCCUGGGUUGGGAAGAUCCCCUGGAGGAGGGCAUGGCAACCCACUCCAGUAUUCUUGCCUGAAGAAUCCCAUGGACAGAGGAGCCUGGUGGGCUAUAGUCCACAGGGUCACAAAGAGUCAGACACGAAUGAAGUGACUGAACACAAACACGCACACCUCAAGAAUAUGCUUCUAGCUUUCAAAAGGAUGGACUGAGCAUGUGUGAUUCACUUAAAGCUUCACUGUCCACUGUGGUAGCCACAUGUGGCUCUUUAAAUUAGUGAAAAUUAAAUUAGAUUAAGAUUUAGUUUUUCAGACUAGUCACGUCUCAAAUGCUCAGUAGCAGAAUGUGGCUCAGUUCAGUUCAGUCCCUCAGUCGUGUUUGACUCUUUGCGACCCCAUGAAUUGCAGCACGCCAGGCCUCCCUGUCCAUCACCAACUCCCGGAGCUUACUCAAACUCACGUCCAUCGAGUUGGUGAUGCCAUCCAACCAUCUCAUCCUCUAUUGUCCCCUUCUCCUCCUGCCUUCAAUAUUUCCCAGCAUCGGGUAUUUUCCAGUGAGUCAGCUCUUCUCAUCAGGUGGCCAAAGUAUUGGAGUUUCAGCUUCAGCAUCAGUC
rnacentral:lncRNA from 1 species